UACGAAGGGGGCUAGCGUUGUUCGGAAUUACUGGGCGUAAAGCGUGCGUAGGUGGUUCUUUAAGUCAGGUGUGAAAUCCCCGGGCUCAACCUGGGAACUGCAUUUGAUACUGAAGAGCUAGAGUGUGGUAGAGGAUAGUGGAAUUCCCGGUGUAGCGGUGAAAUGCGUAGAUAUCGGGAGGAACAUCAGUGGCGAAGGCGGCUAUCUGGACCAACACUGACACUGAGGCACGAAAGCGUGGGUAGCAAACAGG
rnacentral:rRNA from 1 species